rnacentral:rRNA from 1 species
UGGGGAAUAUUGCACAAUGGGCGCAAGCCUGAUGCAGCGACGCCGCGUGCGGGAUGGAGGCCUCGGUUGUAAACCGCUUUUGUUCAAGGGCAAGGCACGGUCUUUGGCCGUGUUGAGUGGAUUGUUCGAAUAAGCACCGGCUAACUACGUGCC